rnacentral:rRNA from 1 species
AAGGCGGAAUCGCUAGUAAACGCAGGUCAGCUAUACUGCGUUGAAUACGUUCCCGGGUCUUGUACACACCGCCCGUCAAGUCACCUGAAUUGUCUUCACCCGAAGCCCGUGGCCUAACCUGCAAAGGAAGGAGCGGUCGAAGGUGAGGGGGGUAAGGGGGACUAAGUCGUAACAAGGUACCCGUACCGGAAGGUGUGGGUGGAUCACCUCCUUAAA